rnacentral:rRNA from 1 species
AUGCUGAACGCGAGGGUGAACGAGGAGCUGGUGGCGGCGGCGGGGGUGGAGGAGGGGGACGUCGUGCUCGAGAUAGGCCCCGGGACGGGCUCUCUCACCGCCGCGCUGCUCGCCGCCGGCGCCACCAUCGUCGCCGUCGAGAAGGAUAAGCAUAUGGCUACCCUUGUGAGAGAUAGGUUUGGAUCCACAGAGCAAUUGAAGGUCAUUGAAGAAGAUAUUACAAAAUUUCACGUUCACUCCCAUUUUCUCCCUAUCCUGGAGGAGAAAUCUCAUGGCAAGAAAAAAUACGCCAAGGUUGUGUCAAACUUACCAUUCAAUGUCAGCACUGAAGUUGUCAAACAAAUUCUUCCAAUGGGAGAUGUUUUCUCUGUCAUGGUGCUCAUGCUUCAGGAUGAAGCGGCACUACGCCUUGCAAAUGCUUCAAUACAAACACCAGAGUACCGACCUAUCAAUGUGUUUGUGAAUUUCUACUCUGAACCUGAAUACAAGUUCAAAGUAGAGAGGGCCAACUUUUUCCCUCAACCGACGGUUGAUGGUGGCGUUAUAAGGUUUAAAAUAAAGGAUGCUGGGGAGUAUCCGCUUGUUAGUUCUAACAAAAGUUUCUUUUCAAUGGUGAACUCCGCGUUCAAUGGGAAGCGCAAGAUGCUUCGGAAAUCACUUCAACACCUAUAUUCUUCUGCUGACAUUGAGGCUGCUCUGACCAAUAUCGGUCUUCCGCCUACGGCUAGACCGUCUGAACUGGGGAUGGAUGAUUUCGUGAGGUUGCACAAUCACCUGGGAAAAGUAUGA